GCACAUUUCCAUUUCUCGAAAUGUCCAGAUAUGGACUUGCCAAUAUGGGCUGGCUCAAGAACAUUCCCUGUUCUUGAAUUAGUGUUGUAGUUUGAUUCUGUGCUUUUAUUCUUUUACUGUUUGUGGAGUUUUAUGCAAAUGUGCAAGUAUGAUUAAUGGAUUGGGUGUAGAAAAUCCCAAUGAAUCCAAUGGUGUUGUUGGUUUCCGAUUUUGGGCAUCUCUGUGAAAAAUCCCCUUGUGGUGAGGUGGCAAUAGUUUCAUCGACGUAGGGUUAUCUUAUGUGCUUGUUUGGAGAAGUGCAUGCAUGCAUCAUAUUGUCUGUUGCAUCAUUUGUUGCUGGUGUUUACUAGAUGUUGUUUCUUUUGGGUAGUUACCAGGGCCAGAAACGAGUUCGAGGAGUCUGGAGAGUUUGUGCAGGAAGAACAAGAUCAGUUCCUGUCUGAAGAAAUCACAUGC
rnacentral:lncRNA from 1 species